AACGAACGCUGGCGGCAUGCCUAACACAUCCAAGUCGAACGAAACCUUCGGGUCUAGUGGCGCACGGGUGCGUAACGCGUGGGAACCUGCCCUUAGGUUCGGAAUAACUCCCCGAAAGGGGUGCUAAUACCGGAUAAUGUCUUCGGACCAAAGAUUUAUCGCCUUUGGAUGGGCCCGCGUUGGAUUAGCUAGUUGGUAGGGUAAAAGCCUACCAAGGCGACGAUCCAUAGCUGGUCUGAGAGGAUGAUCAGCCACACUGGGACUGAGACACGGCCCAGACUCCUACGGGAGGCAGCAGUGGGGAAUAUUGGAGAAGGGGCGAAAGGCUGAUCCAGCAAUGCCGCGUGAGUGAUGAAGGCGUUAGGGUUGUAAAGCUCUUUUGCCCGGGAUGAUAAUGACAGUACCGGGAGAAUAAGCACCGGCUAACUCCGUG
rnacentral:rRNA from 1 species